rnacentral:rRNA from 1 species
GACGGAGGGGGCUAGCGUUGUUCGGAAUUACUGGGCGUAAAGGGCGCGUAGGCGGCCGAUCAAGUUAGGCGUGAAAUCCCUGGGCUUAACCCAGGAACUGCGUUUAAUACUGAUUGGCUAGAGAUUGGUAGAGGAAAGUGGAAUUCCUAGUGUAGAGGUGAAAUUCGUAGAUAUUAGGAAGAACACCAGAGGCGAAGGCGACUUUCUGGGCCAAUACUGACGCUGAGGCGCGAAAGCGUGGGGAGCAAACAGG